CUCAGCAGAAAGUCUGCUUUUGUGAGGUCACUGGAGAUCUCUGACUGACCAAGUUCCGGAAUGAGGUCCAGAGGGACAUCCACCAUCACAACACUACAGUGUGCUAGGACUCAGUCACCUUCACCAGGGAAGAACAGUCUACCGAACAAAAUCCUAGCGGUGGGCACAGGUGAUUCACUGACAAUAAUUAAAAGAAGAAAGGAAGAAGUGUGGGAUGGACAAACAUGGCUUAUGUACUAAAAGGACCAGAGAAAGUGCUACAUUAAAGGACUAACAGAAAUUGAUGCCAACUCCCCAAGUCCCAACCUUCCCCAAAGAGGGGAGCACAGCAGGGAAGUUCUGCUUACACAGGUGACACUGCCUUCGGCCAGACUGGAGAUACUGAAGUGGGCAUCCUCUUCCUCAGUCUUCAUUUUUUUACAGGUGGGUCCCUCUUCAUGACUGGAAAAGAAAUAAAUGGUUUUUUCCUCCCCUUAAAAACAGAACAAACAAUACAAAACCCAGAACUGCUGAUGUGAAAAGUAUAAAUUUAUUUUUCAAGAAUCAAAAACAAGUAGCCACACUUAAGUCUUCCUUUACAAGCAGCUGUCUCCCCUUCCCAGCCUUCAAGUUCCUGAGAGACCAACUACAGCGGCCUGGGCUUUAAUUAGCAGUCGCAUCACAAAGGCCUUUCAAAAGAUGAAACUGCAAGCGCAGAAUUUGACCUGAAACUGAAGGUAACAGAAAGCCAUGAGAGUAAAGGUUUUUAAUCAGGCAUCCAAGAAGCACAUCAAGGAAUUUGUGACCAUCUAAAAUUAUAUGCAAAAUU